UUAAGUGACUAAGCGUAUACGGUGGAUGCCUUGGCAGUCAGAGGCGAUGAAGGACGUAGUAACUUGCGAUAAGCGUUGGCGAGCUAGUAACAAGCAUUUGAGCUAACGAUUUCCGAAUGGGGAAACCCACAUGCAUAAGCAUGUAUCACAACAUGAAUACAUAGUGUUGUGAGGCAAACCCGGGGAACUGAAACAUCUAAGUACCCGGAGGAAAAGAAAUCAACCGAGAUUCCCCUAGUAGCGGCGAGCGAACGGGGAUUAGCCCUUAAGCGUAGAGGGUGUUAGUGGAAUGUGUUGGAAAGCACAGCGGCACAGGGUGAUAGCCCCGUACAUGAAAACUAACUUUACGUGAAAACGAGUAGGACGGGACACGUGACAUCUUGUCUGAACAUGGGGGGACCAUCCUCCAAGGCUAAAUACUCCUGACUGACCGAUAGUGAACCAGUACCGUGAGGGAAAGGCGAAAAGAACCCCUGUGAGGGGAGUGAAAUAGAACCUGAAACCGUAUACGUACAAGCAGUGGGAGCGGUUCUUGAGACCGUGACUGCGUACCUUUUGUAUAAUGGGUCAGCGACUUACAUUUUGUAGCGAGGUUAAGCGAAUAGCGGAGCCGUAGGGAAACCGAGUGUUAACUGCGCGUUUAGUUGCAAGGUGUAGACCCGAAACCCGGUGAUCUAUCCAUGGGCAGGUUGAAGAUUGAGUAACAUCAAUUGGAGGACCGAACCGACUUAUGUUGAAAAAUGAGCGGAUGACUUGUGGAUGGGGGUGAAAGGCCAAUCAAACCGGGAGAUAUCUGGUUCUCCUCGAAAGCUAUUUAGGUAGCGCCUCGAGCGAAUACCAUUGGGGGUAGAGCACUGUUAAGGCUAGGGGGUCAUCCCGACUUACCAACCCUUUGCAAACUCCGAAUACCAAUGAGUACUACUCGGGAGACACACGGCGGGUGCUAACGUCCGUCGUGAAAAGGGAAACAACCCAGACCGUCAGCUAAGGUCCCAAAGUUAUUGCUAAGUGGGAAACGAUGUGGGAAGGCUUAGACAGCUAGGAUGUUGGCUUAGAAGCAGCCAUCAUUUAAAGAAAGCGUAAUAGCUCACUAGUCGAGUCGGCCUGCGCGGAAGAUUUAACGGGGCUAAGCAAUACACCGAAGCUACGGGUGUGCACUUUAGGGUGUACGCGGUAGAGGAGCGUUCUGUAAGCCGUUGAAGGUGAAGGGGUAACCCACGCUGGAGGUAUCAGAAGUGCGAAUGCUGACAUGAGUAACGAUAAAGGGAGUGAAAAACUCCCUCGCCGAAAGACCAAGGGUUCCUGUCCAAUGUUAAUCAGGGCAGGGUGAGUCGACCCCUAAGGCGAGGCCGAAAGGCGUAGUCGAUGGGAAAUGGGUUAAUAUUCCCAUACUUCUGCUAACUGCGAUGGAGAGACGGAGAAGGCUAGGCUAGCGCGGCGUUGGUAGUCCGCGUUUAAGGUGGUAGGCAGUAAACUUAGGCAAAUCCGGGUUUACGCAUUUAAUUGCAAUGCUGAGAGCUGAUGACGAGUCACUAAGGUGAUGAAGUAGUUGAUGCCAUGCUUCCAGGAAAAUCUUCUAAGCUUCAGGUUAGUAGGAAUCGUACCCCAAACCGACACAGGUGGUUGGGUAGAGAAUACCAAGGCGCUUGAGAGAACUCGGCUGAAGGAACUAGGCAAAAUGGUACCGUAACUUCGGGAGAAGGUACGCUCCCGACGGUGAUGAGACUUGCUCUCUAAGCUGUUGGGAGUCGCAGAUACCAGGUGGCUGCAACUGUUUAUCAAAAACACAGUACUGUGCAAACUCGCAAGAGGAAGUAUACGGUAUGACGCCUGCCCGGUGCCGGAAGGUUAAUUGAUUGGGUUAUCUUCGGAGAAGCUCAUGAUCGAAGCCCCGGUAAACGGCGGCCGUAACUAUAACGGUCCUAAGGUAGCGAAAUUCCUUGUCGGGU
rnacentral:rRNA from 1 species